UUUUCAAAUUAAUACUAGAUU
rnacentral:piRNA from 1 species